rnacentral:rRNA from 1 species
UACGUAGGGGGCAAGCGUUGUCCGGAAUCAUUUGGGCGUAAAGAGCGUGUAGGCGGCUUUGGCAAGUCUGACGUGAAAGCCCGCGGCUCAACCGCGGAUUGUCGUUUGGAAACUGCCUCGCUAGAGUCCGGAAGAGGAGAGCGGAAUUCCUGGUGUAGCGGUGGAAUGCGCAGAUAUCAGGAAGAACACCCGUGGCGAAGGCGGCUCUCUGGGGACGGUACU